rnacentral:rRNA from 1 species
GACGAACGCUGGCGGCGGGCUUAACACAUGCAAGUCGAACGGAAAGGCCCUGCGUUUGUGGUGUGCUCGGGUGGCGAACGGGUGAGUAACACGUGAGUAACCGGCCCUUGACUUUGGGAGAACUUCAGGAAAGUGGGGCUAAGACCGGAUAGGAGCUGCUGCUGCAUGGUGGGGGGUGGAAAGUUGCGGCGGGUGGGGAUGGACUCGCGGCUGAUCAGCUUGUUGGUGGGGGAGGGGCUGACCAAGGCUGUGACGGGUACCCGGCCGGAGAGGGUGACCGGCCACAUUGGUCCUACGAUACGGCCCAGAGUCCUACGGGAGGCAGUAGUGGCGAAUCUUGUCCAAUCAGACCAAGCCUGAUGCAGCAACGCCGCGUGCGGGAUGACGGCCUUCGGGUUGUAAACCGCUUUCGCCUGUGACGCCGCGUGAGUGACGGUAAUCAGUAAAGAAGCACCGGCUAACUACGUG